rnacentral:rRNA from 1 species
UACGAACUGUACGAAUGUUAUUCGGAUUCACUGGGCUUAAAGGGUGCGUAGGCGGCCUGAUAAGUAGGGCGUGAAAUCUGUCGGCUCAACCGGCAAACUGCGUUCUAAACUGUCAGGCUUGAGUAGGUCAGGGGUGAGUGGAACUUCCGGUGGAGCGGUGAAAUGUGUUGAUAUCGGAAGGAACGCCGGUGGCGAAAGCGACUCACUGGGGCCUGUCUGACGCUGAGGCACGAAAGCCAGGGUAGCGAACGGG